rnacentral:rRNA from 1 species
CGCCGGCGUCGGCGGGCGUAUUUCGCCUCACAGUAGGUCGCCGCGACCCGUUGCUUUUGGGGACGUCGAAGGCCCGGACGGAUUGGUACCCUACCGGCUGGGGAUGCGGCUUCGGCUUCUCCUCUUGUCCGGUGGGCGAAACCGCCGGUGUCCUGGCUGCCCUGCGACGGUCGUAGAGACGAGCCCUCCCCUUCGGGGGGGCGGCUCUCGCGGCGUGCAAAAGGUCGGUGAUCCACCCGACCCGUCUUGAAACACGGACCAAGGAGUCUAACAUGUGUGCGAGUCAGUGGGCGCACUAAACCCAGAGGCGUAAUGAAAGUGACACGGGUUCGGCUGUCGCCUCGUGUGGCAGCCGGACUCAGGGCCGAUCCCUCACCGGUUGCCCUCGCCUCUCUCCCGCGUCUCGGUAAGCCGGGUGAGCUAUUUUCCCCGGCCGCUGCUGCGGGGCUCGGGGGGAGGCGGGGUUGCGAUGGUGUCCGUAAAAAAGAGCCUGCUGUUGCAGGGGGGCGCAGGCCCGGGACUUGCCAGGACGCCGCGAGACUGUCACUUUGCUGUGAGGCUCUCGGGUCGAUCAGCGGGUCAUGCGUGCAGUCGGCAAGUACCAUGAGCAGACAUGUUGGGACCCGAAAGAUGGUGAACUAUGCCUGGCCAGGAUGAAGCCAGAGGAA